UUUAAAGCUCUGAAAAUGUUUGUUUUCUAGAGUUUCUACAUUGUAUUUAUACAACAAGCCUUGCUUUUAAAAACAUGGUGUGAAAGUAAACUGCUGACAUUUUUCUGUACACCAUCACGAAUCUACUUAAUGAUUUGUACAUUACACUGUCCACAGGCAAAGAGAAUGUGGGAUUUCUGAGUCAAGGCUGACUGGGUUUCUGAGCUAGGGGGGCAGUGGAGAGAUUAAUUAAGCUUCUGUCCCUAACUGCAUGAGGACCCUGGAUCCUAGCAGGACCAUGUUUUAUCUAGCCCACCCUGUCUUGCCUCAGCCACUCUGUUGAUGCUCCCCUCAAAACCCAUCCAAGUAUGCCAGUCUCCCUGAAAAUGCUCAUUCUUUUGUGCAAAUCCAAGUGCUGCCUUGUCCUUAAGCCUGUCUCCAAUACCCUCAAUGUCUCUGGAUUCGUGCAGUCUUUUGUGUCUCUCUUAGACCUUUUCUUGCAACUUCUAUUUUUUUUCUUAGUUUCCCAUGCAUGUUUCUCAUUCACUGUCUGUAGGUAACACAAAAUACAGGGAAUGACCCUGAAUGUCCAUGUCUCCAAUGCAUUGUCAGAUGCCUUCUACAUCCUUUCCGAAUGGGAAUCUAUGUCUGUUCUGCUCUGGCACUGCCAUACAACUUCGGGGUAUAAUAGAGACUAUCUCCAUCUUUAACCCAAGGAGUUUUUGUAGUGAGAAAAGUCAGGAGAUACUUAGAAGACAGGGCACUAGUACAACAGUAAACGUGAAAGCCCUUUAGAUUAGCCUGGGCCUGGGGGUGCCAGAGUCAGGGAAACUUCUGAGAAGUUUAAGGUAUACCGAUAAUUGCUUAUCAGUCAGUCAGAUCGUUGUGUCUGUUUUAGAUCGUGGAAAUCAAAUAAUUAGUUAACAAAUUGUAUACACAUGGGCAAAAAAGCUUUGGUUUUAUGGAACAGACACUAAACUAGUUACAGCUGAACUAAAUAAGCAGCUCUGUCCAUCACUGGUCAAGUCACAAAGCCUGAGCCAUUUCAAGGAGAGGGCCUUACUCCGAAGAGCUCAUUCCUUUGCUUCCUGAGCAAACAGGGUUACCAUAGAAUGUGAUUCUUGUUUUGAUGUUGGUGUUUUCUAAUUGUCUGUCUGACUAGGCAGCACUUGGGUCUCUUUCACAGCAAAGGGGCUCUCUGAGCAAUUCACAGAUGUGCUGCAUGUUGAGAACUACUUCAAAGUUAUUGCGUACUUCAUAGGUGCAGGAUUGAAUGAGAGCAGGACACGCUGCAUGAGAAGGCAAGUAAAUAUUUUAUUUCCAGGCUGAUUUGCUGGUCAGUAUCACAUGAUUCUGAGAAGGAGAAUUUGGAGGGGAUCUUCAAUCAACUCAGGGAUUGAACCUGCAUUUCCUGCAUUGGCAGAUUUCUGUCCAGACCCAGGUAUCCAGGACAGAUGGAGGCCCUGGGGACCUUCCACCGCUUCAGGAAGCCAGAGCCUCCAUUCCCAGAGAGAGUCCACAGGCCCAAGGAAGCUAGCAGGUGGCUGAGCCAUUGCCAUGGAUGUGUGGCCCAACAGGAGCACCGGGUCCUCCAGCUGCUCCCAUGGCACCUCCAGGCUGUUUGUGGCAGACACAGCUUAGGUAGCCUCAGACACCUCUCACCCGAGUGACACAGCUGGGGUUAAACACAUUUACAUUUGACCCCAGGUGAAGCUGCAGUUCAGUGGAGCAGAGUGGACAUCAGGCAUGAGACCUUGCUAUGGUGAGAGUUGGACUCUGCAGACUGAGGUCAAAGAUACCUGGUCACAUCCCAGCCUCAGCACUUUGUGACCUGGGCCAGAAUUCUUUUAUUCUGAGCUCUGUGGUGUGUAUUUACUCAAUAAAUAUUUACUGGAGACCUAGUUGUACUAAACACCCCCCAGGGGUGCUGGGAACAUAGCCAUGAGUAAACAA